UACAGAGGUCCCAAGCGUUGUUCGGAUUCACUGGGCGUAAAGGGUGCGUAGGCGGUCGGGUAAGUCUGACGUGAAAUCUUCAAGCUCAACUUGGAAACUGCGUCCGAUACUAUUCGGCUAGAGGAAUGGAGGGGAGACUGGAAUACUUGGUGUAGCAGUGAAAUGCGUGGAUAUCAAGUGGAACACCAGUGGCGAAGGCGAGUCUCUGGACAUUUCCUGACGCUGAGGCACGAAAGCCAGGGGAGCAAACGGG
rnacentral:rRNA from 1 species